AUUGAACGCUGGCGGCCGGUUUAAUACAUGCCAGUCGAGCGAGCGGCGGACGGGUGAGUAAUGUCUGGGAAACUGCCUGAUGGAGGGGGAUAACUACUGGAAACGGUAGCUAAUACCGCAUACCAUCAGAUGUGCCCAGAUGGGAUUAGCUAGUAGGUGGGGUAAUGGCUCACCUAGGCGACGAUCCCUAUCUGGUCUGAGAGGAUGACCUGCCAAACUGGAACUGAGACACGGUCCAGACUCCGAAGGGAGGCAGCAGUGGGGAAUAUUGCACAAGGGGCGCAAACCUGAUGCAGCGAGGCCGCGUGUAUGAAGAAGGCCUUCGGUUUGUAAAGUACUUUCAGCGGGGGAGCGUUGCCCGCGAAAGAAACACCGGCUAACUCCGUGACAGCAGCCGCGGUAAUUC
rnacentral:rRNA from 1 species